rnacentral:rRNA from 1 species
UUUAGUUGGUGGAGCGAUUUGUCUGGUUAAUUCCGAUAACGAACGAGACUCUUGCCUGCUAAAUAGUUCGGGGAUGAUCAAUACCGUCCCCGCCGUCAACUUCUUAGAGGUACAAGUGGCGUUUAGCCACACGAAACGGAGCAAUAACAGGUCUGUGAUGCCCUUAGAUGUCCGGGGCCGCACAUGUGCUACAAUGAAUGUAUCAACGGGUAUCAGCCUCGCCCGGAAGGGUAGGGGAAUCCUCUGAACCGCAUUCUCAGUAGGGAUUGGGGAUUGCAAUUAUUUCCCAUCAACACGGAAUUCCCAGUAGGCGUCAGUCAUCAGCUGGCGUCGAUUGAGUCCCUGCCCUUUGUACACACCGCCCCGUCGCUAAA